ensembl:lncRNA
AGUUGUGAGUGGACUGGAGGCAUGCUGCCCAAGAUGGCUGACUUUGAAGACUAUUUUCUGUUCAUAUUGGAUAACUACUUCAGGAUUUAUGUUUGGCCCUGUAGCAUAACGGAGAAAUUGGAGUUACACCAGCUGUGGAUAAAUGGACUUCUAUGCUUCCUGUUGGACGUUGGUCGAGACGUCUUAAUGGAUUGAUCCGUGAUUCCCAAACCUUUAUUGGAGCUGUGCCUUAUCCCUGGUCGACGCCUGGUGGAAUCAUCGCAUUAAUGAAACAAGAAGCCCAGACGGAGACUGUGUCGCGCUGGAAGAGUCAGUCGCUUCAGUGGGUUUUUAAGGUCGGAAACCUCCAUUACGAGUCGAGGGGUAUCCAAUUAUAGCUUUCCUGC